rnacentral:rRNA from 1 species
GACGAACGCUGGCGGCGUGCUUAACACAUGCAAGUCGAACGCUGAAGCUCAGCUUUUGUUGGGUGGAUGAGUGGCGAACGGGUGAGUAACACGUGAGUAACCUGCCCCCCUCUUUGGGAUAACGCCCGGAAACGGGUGCUAAUACUGGAUAUUCACUGGUCUUCGCAUGGGGGUUGGUGGAAAGGGUUUUUCUGGUGGGGGAUGGGCUCGCGGCCUAUCAGCUUGUUGGUGGGGUGAUGGCCUACCAAGGCUUUGACGGGUAGCCGGCCUGAGAGGGUGACCGGUCACAUUGGGACUGAGAUACGGCCCAGACUCCUACGGGAGGCAGCAGUGGGGAAUAUUGCACAAUGGGCGCAAGCCUGAUGCAGCGACGCCGCGUGAGGGAUGGCGGCCUUCGGGUUGUGAACCUCUUUCGCUCAUGGUCAAGCCGCAACAAUGGUUGUGGUGAGGGUAGUGGGUAAAGAAGCGCCGGCUAACUACGUG